rnacentral:rRNA from 1 species
UACGAAGGGAGCUAGCGUUGUUCGGAAUCACUGGGCGUAAAGCGCACGUAGGCGGAUGUGUCAGUCAGGGGUGAAAUCCCGGAGCUCAACUUCGGAACUGCCUCUGAUACAGCACGUCUUGAGUCCGAUGGAGGUGGGUGGAAUUCCUAGUGUAGAGGUGAAAUUCGUAGAUAUUAGGAAGAACACCGGUGGCGAAGGCGGCCCACUGGAUCGGUACUGACGCUGAGGUGCGAAAGCGUGGGGAGCAAACAGG